CGCACGGGUGAGUAACACGUAUCCAACCUGCCGUCUACUCUUGGACAGCCUUCUGAAAGGAAGAUUAAUACAAGAUGGCAUCAUGAGUUCACAUGUUCACAUGAUUAAAGGUAUUCCGGUAGACGAUGGGGAUGCGUUCCAUUAGAUAGUAGGCGGGGUAACGGCCCACCUAGUCUUCAAUGGAUAGGGGUUCUGAGAGGAAGGUCCCCCACAUUGGAACUGAGACACGGUCCAA
rnacentral:rRNA from 1 species